rnacentral:misc_RNA from 1 species
GAAAUGCGAUAAGUAAUGUGAAUUGCAGAACUCAGUGAACCAUCGAAUCUUUGAACGCACAUUGCGCCCCUCGGCACUCCGGGGGGCAUGCCUGUCCGAGCGUCAUUUCAACCCUCAAGCUCCGCUUGGCCUUGAGCCCGGGUCAGCGAUGGCCGGCUCCAAAAUCAGCGGCGGCGCCGUCGGGCCCUGAACGUAGUACCUUCUCUCGUUACAGGCCCUCGACGCGCUCCAGCCCCCACCCCAACUCUUCGUGGUUGACCUCGGAUCAGGUAGGGAUACCCGCUGAACUUAA